CCUCUUGGUCUUUCUGAUAAUGCCCUGAGGAUUCUGAGAAGUCCGAAGUGCCAUUGCUCAAGACUUAGAUCACCAAAAGACAUGGAGAACCUUACCUGGACUGCAUACACCUGCAUUAGAGUGUAAAAUGGAAGAUCGCAUUUUACAGGUUAUCAAUCAGGGUCCCUGGAGGAAAGUCUGCAGGAGAGGACCCAUCACUGCUGGGCCAUGGUUUGCAGAGUACUCCCUGUCAGGCAGCACUGUGACCACCAUGAAGCAGGACAUGCCAGGCAUGAGGGAGUAGGGUGACUGACAGCAAAGUACCCACAUGUCUGCUGGAGAGAGAUGCAGCAUAUCUGUGGUUUUUCAGUACCAAAAGUGUAAGAAGAUGAUGGGACUGGGAUAAGAACUGAAGAUACAUUUGAUCAGAAAAAAAUUACGAAGAUUUCAGAGCUUACAAAGAAAAUGCAAUGCUUUUCUUGGCCCUAUCCACUAAACUGUUUCCAAUAAGAAGACUUCUGCAGCCCCAACCAACUCCACAGCAACUGUCUGUGCAUGUUCAAAAGUCUUAACAUGUGAGCGUCUUGGCAGAACGGAGUCUACCCGAACUCAAGGAUGUGUAGAGCUUUGCAAAGUAGAGCAGCAUCAAAUGGGAGAAGAGCAUGUUACGUAUUUUUGUGUGCACCUAACUGAAACUUUGGAUUAUGAUUGUGUCUAGGGCAAGCACAAGAGAAACAUGGUUAUAUUACCUGCUGUGUGCUGUAUUACUGUGAUCACCGUACUGUAAAUGACCAAUUUUUCUUUUCAAUAUUAUCCCUAUAGUCAGUCACAAAAAAAAAAACCAAAAACGUUUUGCCAUAUCUUCUACUGAAAGUCAUGCAAUAUCUAUGUGAUUCAGCUUAAGUUAAUCAGAGUAUAUACAUUAGUGUAUACAUUGGUAUGUAUUGUGAUAUAUAAUAAACAUCUGAUAUAAAUAGGCUGUUGGCCUCUGUAUUUAAUAAAGGCAUGAAAAUACCAAAGUUUGCUUAUCUUUUUCUCAGUGUUCUGAUCUAGAUAAUUAUAUAACACUGCACGUCACCAGCAAAGCACUUUAUAAAUGGCCAGAAGUCAGCCAAACGGACCUAGCUGAAAAAUGUAUGUAUUUUCCCUUCCUUGUCAAAGGACAAGUUCUGUAUGGGCUGUGCUUUGACUGUGUGAUGGGCUGAGUUCAACCCAGCUCAAGGGUGCCUGGCUAGCUAGGGUUCCAACCCCAUGCUGGAUGCCACACAGAGGGCUGUAGCAGCAUGACCAUGGCCAGGUGCAAGGAGCCCAGACAGCCUCUUACUCACUCCCCAUCUCCAUUGGUCUGCGAAUGAUUAAAAUAGAGUUUGGUGGUGAGAAACAAAGAUGUUUUGAAAUCCAGUGUAUAGUUUAUAUUAAGUUUCUUAGUGUAAAAUCUAACACUACUUAAACCCUUUUUGUGAGCUCUGCGGAAGUCUUGUUAUGUCUAAAGUAUGAAGAAAAACCUUCACCAGUUUCAGAUGAAAGAUUUAAUUCAAGUUGGAUACUUUUUAAAAUGACUUUCCCUGUUUGUCUCCCUGACCCUAAGAUAUUUAGUCAUUUAUAUUAAAUGAACUUUUCUGUGAACCUCUGUUUCAAACCAGCACUACACUGUCAGACUGUGAAUAUGAAGUAUUAUCAUCUUGGCCACUACAUGAUAUUGCAAUUAAAGUCCUCUUCAGCCGUUAGUUGCUUUUUCUGAUCAAAUGGGAACAUGGCAUUUCAGAGGCUGUUCA